CAAAUCUGAUACUAACUCCUUCCGCUUAGACAGAAGAACAGGGAAGGAGGAGAUGUAGGCAACAGAGGAGACUGAAGCUACUGUGCCUUAAAACCCUGUUUUGGCCUGUCCAUAUGGAACAGUCACAGAGCUGUCUCACUGUCCCAGUCACCUGGGGCCUUCCCUGUUCUCCACGAGAGUCAGCAUGCGGGGCUGCUAACAGGAUGCCCAGCAGGAUGACACGAGAGCCUGAUAAGUGAGGGUGCACCCAGCUUACACCUUCUCACGGUGCAGAUCUCAGCCUAAAGGCCCCUCUUGGGAGCUGCCAUCCUGGACCCCUCUCUCCAAAGCAGCUCUGUCCUUGCGCCUUCCCUCACACAUUGUCUCUACCAUGCUCUGAAAUUCUCUUAUUUACUGUGUACUUGUUUAUUGUCACCCUCCCCCACCUCAGCCUCAUAUCAGCACCUGCCCCCCUACCACCACCACCACCACCACCAGCCUCUUGGGACUCGAGUGUUCUGGUAAGAGGGGGAGAGGACUGUGGCUUAUCUCAACACUUAGACAUCAUCUCCAGCAUCUCCUUCACCUGCAGCAAGGGGCCAACCCUCAGUACCAGCGUGCGCCACCUCCACUGUUUCCCCAAAGUCUGCCCACUCCCGAGGUGGGGAAGCUCCUAUGGCACUGCAUCCCAUCCCAGAAUAUGCUUAUUACAAAUUAUAAUCACCUGUGUACAAGUCUACCUCCCCAAGGAGACCAUGGGGCCGGAACGUGCCUUUUCUGUUCAUUCAAGUGUUCAUGCCUGUCUCUCUCACCUGAUAAGGCGAGGAGGAGUUUCUGCUCACUAGUCCUUCCCCCGCCCCCGUGGGCCGCAGAGCACCUGACACCAUCCAGAGGUUCCCGUGGCUCCAGGCUUCUCUCCAUGCUACCAGCCAAUUUCUGAGCCCUGUCUCUGAGCCAGACCCGUGCUCGGUAUGUACAUGGAGUGCGUUAUUCCAUCCUUACGACCUAGGAGACAGGAACUGCCAAUUCUGUGAGGUAGGGGCCGUGAGCCUCGUUUUACAGAUAAGAAGGAGGAGGCACAGGAGAGGUUAAGUCGCUCAGCCAAAGUUACGGCAGGGAAGUCCCGGGGCAGGGACUCAAACCCAGGCUGUGUGGCUCUGGCUGCCACAGCCUGAGCCCCUAUUCGAGACCGCGCCAAUCACAGCAUCCGUCACACUGUGUUAUGGUUGUUUCUCUCUUCCCCUCCACGGAGCUUCUCCCGGAGGGAGACAGUCGACCAGAAGAGUGAAGAAUGCAGGAAGGGCUGAUUGGAAGCGGGGAGCCUUUGUCUUGCUCAGCUGACAUUGUCCACCAGGUGGCAGUCACAGCUCCCGGAUAAAGUCGUCCCUUUUCAUCUCCCCCCUUCCCCUUUAAGAAGGAAACCCUUUUUUUCCCCCGACGCCGCCUCCCUCAAUUUUUAUUAUUACCAAGAAGUGAAGUGAGUAGCCUCAACUCAAAACACGACUCCCUGCCUGAGCUUUUUGAAAACGGCACGUGGAGAAGGUGCGUCUCCAACCCCCGUGAGCCGCGGCGCAAGCGGAGAGAGGCAGGCGGGCUUGGGGGUGCGCAGCCUGGGAGCCCAGGAUCCAUGACGUGAGAUGGAAUUUCAGCCCACAAAAGAGCACUCUGGGAGGCCGAGGCGCGCGGAUCACCUGAGGUCAAGAGUUGGAGACCAGCCUGGCCAACAUGGCGAAACUCCGUCUCAACUAAAAAUAUAAAAAUUAGCCAGGUGUGGUGGCGGGCGCCUGUAAUCCCACCUGUUCAGGAGGCUGGGGCGGGAGAAUCGCUUGAACCUGGGAGGCAGAGGUUGCAGUGAACCGAGAUGGCGCCACUGCACUCCAGCCUGGGCGACAGAUCAAGACUCCAUCUCAAAAAAAAAAAAAAAAAAAACCACACACAGAAAUUGAUAUAUUUUAAAUGUGUAUGUUAAACAAAUAAAUAAAUGCUAUUAACCCUCAAAGUACAAUGUAACAUCCUUGUGCUCUUGUUGAGAAUUAGGGGAAGAUUGGAUUCUUUGUGGGUUACCACAGAGGGUGUGAUAAUGGUACCAAGUUGAAAGGUGUUCAGGGCUCAAUGCU
rnacentral:lncRNA from 1 species